GGCGGAGGUGCAGUGAGAGUAACCUGCGUUGGGAAGACAGAGGUUUCGGCGAGUUAGGAAUGUCAAAGAGCAUUGGAACUGCAUUCCAAUUUAGCCUGUUCCUGGUCUGCUUGUUGGAAAACUGGUCAAGUUCAAAGUGUUCAGAAC